rnacentral:rRNA from 1 species
GUAACCUGCCCUGGAAGUGGGGGGGACAACAGUUGGAAACGACUGCUAAUACCGCAUAAGCCCACGGCCCGGCAUCGGGUUGAGGGGAAAAGGAUUUAUUCGCUUCAGGAUGGACUCGCGUCCAAUUAGCUAGUUGGUGAGGUAACGGCCCACCAAGGCGACGAUUGGUAGCCGGACUGAGAGGUUGAACGGCCACAUUGGGACUGAGACACGGCCCAGACUCCUACGGGAGGCAGCAGUGGGGGAUAUUGCACAAUGGGGGAAACCCUGAUGCAGCGACGCCGCGUGGAGGAAGAAGGUUUUCGGAUUGUAAACUCCUGUCGUUAGGGACGAUAAUGACGGUACCUAACAAGAAAGCACCGGCUAACUACGUGCCAGCAGCCGCGGUAAAACGUAGGGUGCAAGCGUUGUCCGGAAUUACUGGGUGUAAAGGGAGCGCAGGCGGACCGGCAAGUUGGAAGUGAAAUCCAUGGGCUCAACCCGUGGAUUGCUUUCAAAACUGCUGGCCUUGAGUAGUGCAGAGGUAGGUGGAAUUCCCGGUGUAGCGGUGGAAUGCGUAGAUAUCGGGAGGAACACCAGUGGCGAAGGCGACCUACUGGGCACCAACUGACGCUGAGGCUCGAAAGCAUGGGUAGCAAACAGGAUUAGAUACCCUGGUAGUCCAUGCCGUAAACGAUGAUUACUAGGUGUUGGAGGAUUGACCCCUUCAGUGCCGCAGUUAACACAAUAAGUAAUCCACCUGGGGAGUACGACCGCAAGGUUGAAACUCAAAGGAAUUGACGGGGGCCCGCACAAGCAGUGGAGUAUGUGGUUUAAUUCGAAGCAACGCGAAGAACCUUACCAGGUCUUGACAUCCGAUGCAUAGUGCAGAGAUGCAUGAAGUCCUUCGGGACAUCGAGACAGGUGGUGCAUGGUUGUCGUCAGCUCGUGUCGUGAGAUGUUGGGUUAAGUCCCGCAACGAGCGCAACCCUUAUUGCCAGUUACUACGCAAGAGGACUCUGGCGAGACUGCCGUUGACAAAACGGAGGAAGGUGGGGAUGACGUCAAAUCAUCAUGCCCUUUAUGACCUGGGCUACACACGUACUACAAUGGCGUUUAACAAAGAGAAGCAAGACCGCGAGGUGGAGCAAAACUCAAAAACAACGUCUCAGUUCAGAUUGCAGGCUGCAACUCGCCUGCAUGAAGUCGGAAUUGCUAGUAAUCGCGGAUCAGCAUGCCGCGGUGAAUACGUUCCCGGGCCUUGCACACACCGCCCGUCA